rnacentral:lncRNA from 10 species
UUUUCUUUUUCUUUUUUGAGACGGAGUCUUGCUGUCUUGCUGUGUCGCCCAGGCUGGAGUGCAGUGGCGCAAUCUCGGCUCACUGCAACCUCUGCCUCCUAGGUUUAAGCAAUUCCCCUGCCUCAGCCUCCUGAGUAGCUGGGACUACAGGCGUGCCACCACACCCAGCUAAUUUUUUGUAUUUUAGUAGAGACGGGGUUUCACCAUGUUGGCCAGGUUGGUCUUGAUCUCCUGACCUGGUGAUCUGCCCGCCUUGGCUUCCCAAAGUGCUAGGAUUACAGGUGUGAGCCACUGUGCCUGGCCAGGCAUUUUUUUUCUUAAGUGUGAUGGAAGAUGGAGGGGUUAGGCAGGGGAGAAUGGGUUGCCAGGAAUCAAGAAUAAAAGCAGGUCUGUUUUAGUAAUCCAGGCAAGAGAUGGAGGAAGCUUGGACUAGAAGAGCAGCCAUGGAUGUGGAGACAUGUGGCUUGACCUGCUGAUGGAUUGGAUAUGAGGAAAAAGAUGGGAUGAACAAAAAUUGUUAGAGGUGUGUAUGUGAACUGGGGUGAAGGAUGUUACCAUUUACUUAUUUGAGAAAGAAUGGGAAAGAAAUGGGUUUUUGGGGAAGAAACCCCCACAAAGUUCUGUUUUGUUUAUGUCAAGUUUGAGAUACUUAUUGGACAAUCAUUUGAAGAUAUUAAGGUGGAGUCGGCUAUACAAGCUUCAAGCUCAAUGGAGAUAUCUAGGGCUGGAGAGGGAGUUGUGGUAUUAUAAGGGUAAUGAUGAUGCUUAAUUCCAUGGUUCUGAAUGAGAUCACUGAUGGAAAGUGUGUAGAUCAAAAGUGGAAGGAAGGGAGGAGAACACCUGGAAUAUAGAAUCAUGUAAUCUGUGCUGAUUUAUUUUAUUUUAGGAUCUGAAUCAUGCUGAUUGUUUCUUCAAUUCCUCACCAUACCUUGCAUUUGUACUUCUGAAGAGUCAUAUGUUUUUAUUAGUUAGGCAUUUGGUAUAAAAAUUGUUACUGUAAGCUAUCUGUAAUCACAUUCUAGAAAUCAGUUGGCGGGUAACAGAUGCACAUAUGACCACAGGAAAUGCCAAAAACCACUUCCCAUGGUUGUUCCUCUUGCAUGUACACAUCUAUUUUUAACACUCAUGAUUGUAAGGCAGAGCUCUUGUCACUUGAGGGAACUGUGUUUCCUCGUGGAGAUCCAAGGCCACUGGACACAGAGAGUGGCAUCCCAUGGGCCAGCAUUUACUGCUGCUGGUUUGUUAACAGAACUCCGACCUCAUGGACAUUUGGUUGCUUGAUGGUUAUGUGCUGGGAGUAGGGAAUGGGAAGAUGAUUGGAACACCUGGAGUAUAAGUGGAGUAAAGAGUACAGAAGAAAUGCCUCUGGCGGAAAAUUUGAAGCAGUUUCUGUGCAAGACUGGAGCUCACACAUGAAGCCAACUCUGAGGAAGUACAAAGUGUUGUCCCCAAUCCUCGUAAUAUCCAGCUUCUUUGGCAGCUUGCUCUGCCCAAAAGAAGAUAGGAGACAGACAGACAGACAAACACACAGGCAUACACACAGAUGCGCAGAUGGACAGACAAUAAACUUUUCCUGGGGAUGUGAAGAAAGAAUCUAAGAAGUAAAGAUGGGACUCCGUUUCAGAUGAUGAAGCUCUAAAAUGACUUCAGUUGACGGGUAAAGCCCAUGACCUCUGGCCUCAGCAGGUUUCAGAGAACAGGCAGAUGGGUGAUAAUACUCAGAAAGGCAUCCAUUUAUCAGUGAGUUUUCCUUCUAAGCUACAUCCCACACAGCAGCUUUGUGAAUGCCUUCAUCCCACACCUCAGCAAUUUUGAACCAGAACAAGUUUCCGUAAAGGGUAAGGAUGAUCUGUAUAAAAUGGUCUGUGUAAGAAUGAUCUGCAUAAGAAAUGAAAAGAGCAGGUGUGUUCAAGGAGUCAGACCUCUUAGACUCUAAGCACCCCCCUCUCUCAUAAUACCUUGUAACUUUGGAGACAUUCUUUAAUCUGGUUAAACCUCCAUUUUCUUGGUUAUAGCAUGCAAAUAACUAAUUCCUGCUGGAUCUCUAUCUCGGUGGUUGUGAAGUUCAAGUGAAACUGAAAGCUGUGUGAAAACUAUAAAGGCCUACAAUAGAUAAGACAGCAUGAGACGAGUGUGGUGCUGAUAAUGUUGAUGGGUCACAGGCAUGGGUACUCAAGUUCCUGCCCAAAACCGCAUGAAGGAGUGGGUUAGGGGAGCCAGUCACCUCACAUCACUGGAGAACAGGCAAGGGUCUUUGGCCUCAGUUAUAGCACUUAGUAGGUACUCAAGCCCAAGGGAACAAGUUUUCAUGCAAGUGUCAACACAGCCACCAUGAAUUGCUCAGAGCAGGACAUAAAUCAGGUGAUUUAGCCCCUCCAAGCCUUGUUUACUCUUAGAGAAAAUGAGGAAAUCAGGCUAAAUGGCAGUGGAGUGACACAGUCUUGGAUUCGAAUCUCAUUUAUACUCCUGGCUAGUUGUUUGGCCUUGGACAGAUAGCUUCACUUUAAAGUUAUUUUUUAUUUCUAAAAUUAACAUACAAGGAAACUGAUUUUUUUGGUGUGCAGUUCUAUACAUUUUAGCACAUGUAUAGAUUCACGAAGGUACCACUACAAUUAGGAUAUAGAACGAUUCUAGCACCUCAUAAAACCCUCACAUGCUUUUCUUUUGUAAUCACACCCUAUCACCACCCAUAACCCC